rnacentral:rRNA from 1 species
UCGUUAACGAACGAGACUUCGACCUACUAAAUAGUUCACGGUAGGUCCCCUACCGGUGACACUUCUUAGAGGGACUGUCGGUUUGUAGCCGAAGGAAGUUCGAGGCAAUAACAGGUCUGUGAUGCCCUUAGAUGUUCUGGGCCGCACGCGCGCUACACUGAUACGUUCAUCGAGCUUACAACCUUGGCUGAGAGGCCUGGGUAAUCUUUGAAAGCGUAUCGUGCUGGGGAUAGAUUAUUGUAAUUAUUAAUCUUCAACGAGGAAUUCCUAGUAAACGCGAGUCAUCAACUCGCAUUGAUUACGUCCCUGCCCUUUGUACACACCGCCCGUCGCUACUACCGAUUGAAUGGGUUA